AUACGGAGGGUGCAAGCGUUAAUCGGAAUUACUGGGCGUAAAGCGCACGCAGGCGGUUUGUUAAGUCAGAUGUGAAAUCCCCGGGCUCAACCUGGGAACUGCAUCUGAUACUGGCAAGCUUGAGUCUCGUAGAGGGGGGUAGAAUUCCAGGUGGAGCGGUGAAAUGCGUAGAGAUCUGGAGGAAUACCGGUGGCGAAGGCGGCCCCCUGGACGAAGACUGACGCUCAGGUGCGAAAGCGUGGGGAGCAAACAGGAUUAGAUACCCUGGUAGUCCACGCCGUAAACGAUGUCGACUUGGAGGUUGUGCCCUUGAGGCGUGGCUUCCGGAGCUAACGCGUUAAGUCGACCGCCUGGGGAGUACGGCCGCAAGGUUAAAACUCAAAUGAAUUGGCGGGG
rnacentral:rRNA from 1 species